GACUGUACGACUCAGUUCUUUAAGGAAGCCUCUCAUCACUAGACAAGUUUAAUUCCUCAUGAUUUAAUCUAAUGAUUUUGUACGCCGAACCUCUUCCUUCUUUUUUUUUUUUUUUUUAAUUUUUUAACGUUUAUUUCUUUUUCACAGAGACAGAGCAUGAGCAGGGGAGGGGCAGAGAGACAGGGAGACACAGAAUCUGAAGCAGAACUUCUUCCUUCUUAAUGUACUUCACACUUCACUUUCCAGAAACAAUUCCUGAUGGAAACAGAAGAGACAUUGGCCAUGGACACGUGUCUAGUUUAACCUGCGCUUCCGGAGCAAGGUUGACAGCAAUUACUACUCGCAGCCCUUCAGCUUUGUCUCCGGACACGCAGCUCCCUCAUCUAUCUUUCAAAAGCACAGGUCUUAUCAUGUUACACCUCCCACCUCCUGUCUUAAAAAAUGUAAGUGGUUAUCUAUUAAUUUCAGAUUUAUAUGGUCAAGUUUUGACAAUCUUUCAAAGCCAGGUCAUCUCCUAACCAGGUCAGAAUUUACAUUUACAAAUUAAUUUUACACUCUUCCCCUGCUUUCAUUAACCCUAUGCUGCUGUCAAACUCAAGGAUGGUAUAUAUUCUUUUAAUCAUGCAAGUUUCUCUCUUUGGCUGGUUCUUUACCUCACUCUUUACCAAGGAUGGCUAACGUCCUUUAUCGUUCUGCUCAGAUAAGAUUUCACCUCUUCAAUGAACUUUGGUUCAGACCCUUUGUAAGCUAAAAAUAUGCUCUCUUUCUUCUGAAUUACAUUAUUAUCAUAUUAUGUGUAGAAAGUAGAAAAUAUGAUUUCUAUGAUAGUAUAUAUUUAUAUGUCUUCAAUUUCCCAGCAACCUUUUGGCAUUUGAUGAACUGAGUCACUGUGCUGAGAAUGAGAAGAGAAUGGUGACCCUAACAUAGCAUUCCAUGUAGACAAACGGCUCUUCAGCCAGGUGUGGGGAGACUAAAUCUUGUUUAGACCAAUAUAGGAUAGUUCCAAAUUAUGAAUGAUGAAACAAUAGGCCGAAUUACUAACAACCUGCUAGAGUUGGUAUAAACGGAGAAAAAAGUCUGUAAUGUGAAACUGUUAACUCCCAUUGUCCCUUUGGACUCUCCUCUUCUGGGCUGUUUUGCUGUUUGUGACAUGAGACAGACUGUUGCCAUGGCUGUCAUCAAAGCAGAAGAUAAGAAGGCAGCUGGAGCUGGCAAGGUCACCAAGUCUGCCCAGAAAGCUCAGACGGCUAAAUGAAUAUUGUCCCCAAUGCCUGCCACCCCAGUCUUAGUCAGUAGUGGGAAAAUGGUCUCAGAACUGUUUGUGUCAAUUUAGCCAUUUAAGUUGAAUAGUAUAAGACUGGUUAAUGAUAACAGUGCCAUCCGAAAGUCAUCAGAAGGGAAGGAGAAUGUUUAGUGGACCAUUUGUAUACGGUCUGUGUGGCAGUUUUAAGUUACUAGUUUUUAAAAUCAGUAUCUUUUAAUGGAAACAGCUUGACCAAAAAUCUGGCGCAGAAUUUG
rnacentral:lncRNA from 1 species